rnacentral:misc_RNA from 1 species
GGACUUAAUGUCACGGUACCCAAUUUUCUGCCCCGGA